rnacentral:tRNA from 1 species
ACUUAAAUAGCUUAUAUAGAGCAUAAUAUUGAAGAUAUUAGGGAGAUUAAUUUAAUCUUUAGGUA